AUGGAGGCCACAAGAAGAUGGUGGAGAAUAAGAGGCUGGGAAAGAAGAAGAUGGGGAGAGGAGAAGAGGGUGGUGGCAAGACCGCGGCAGACAGACGCUGCUGCGAGGAGGUGGGAAGACAUGGGAAGAAAACGGUGCGGGGUGAGGAAGAAAACGGUUGCAGUAAUAGGCCGGGAGAAGACGGUGAGGAAGAAAACGGUUGCAGUAAUAGGCCGGGAGAAGACGGUGAGGAGAGGGAGGGGGAGGGGAGAAGAGGGAGCGGCGGGAAGACGCUGCUGCGGGAAUAGGCGGGAAGGUGGAGAGGGGAAGCGAGCGGGUGGAGAGGAGGGUGGGGGAGGCCGUGGGGAGAGGGAGACGGGGAGGAAAAGCUGCCGCCACAGGAACCGGUGCUGCGAGGAGGCGGCGAGACUGAGGGGAAGAAAACGGUGGGGAAGAGAAAAAAAACUGCAGGGGAGAAGAAGGUGCGGGAAGAAGACGGUGGGGAGAGGGCAGUAGAGGAUGCGGGAAGACCGCGGUGGGGAAGAAGGAGGAGAGAAGACGUUGAGGAGAGGGAGAGGGGAGAAAAAGGUGGCAAGAAGACGUUGGGGAAGGGAGGGGUGGGAAAGGAGAAGGGUCGGGAAGGAGAGGGGAGGGAAAGGGGAGAAGGUGGGGAAGAAGACGGUUGGAAAGGGGAGAGGGGAAGAAAAGGGUGGGGAGGGAGAAGGGAAGAGGACGGGUUGCGGGGAAGAAGAAGGGAGGGGAAAGUGGCGAAGACGACGUUGGGGAAAGAGACGGAGAGGGGAAAAAGAUCGGUGGGAGAGAAGAGGAUGAAGCAGGGAACGAGGUGGGGAGAGGGGAAGAAAAAGGCAGAAAGACGGGCUGAGAGAGAAGACAGUGCUGGGAGAAGAGGGGAGGGAGAAGGGAAGCGGGGAAAGACGGUGGGAGAAGGUGGUGGGGGAGAAGAAGGCAGUGUGGGAGAAGAGUUGGGGGAAAAAGAAUAGUGAUACUAACGUUUAAAAGUCGUCGUCUUGGAGCUGAAGAAUGAAGUGUUGCUUUAGAGUCCCGGCCUAACUUUGUUCAAUAAAUUCCCACUUCCAAAUAUUUUGCGAUUGCAGUGUGGGUCGUUUUUGGUACUUAGAUCCAGAGCAGUCUCUGAUUGUUAGUGACGGUGCUAUCAAAUUGCAUGCUGUUCACCAGCUAUAAACGAAAAGAUCACAUUUCCUUGAAGCACACUUCAAUAUGUAAUUCAAACACUUUUCUAAGAGACUCAUUGGGGAAAAAAUAGAGGUGUGUACCUUUGGCAUUGAACAUGGAGUCUCUGAUUUUAGAUUGCAUUUGUUUCCCCAAAUCUUUAAGAAUGUGGCAGAAACGUG
rnacentral:lncRNA from 10 species